GACGAACGCUGGCGGCGUGCUUAACACAUGCAAGUCGAACGGAAAGGCCCUGCUUUUGUGGGGUGCUCGAGUGGCGAACGGGUGAGUAACACGUGAGUAACCUGCCCUUGACUUUGGGAUAACUUCAGGAAACUGGGGCUAAUACCGGAUAGGAGCUCCUGCUGCAUGGUGGGGGUUGGACAGUUUCGGCGGUUGGGGAUGGACUCGCGGCUUAUCAGCUUGUUGGUGGGGUAGUGGCUUACCAAGGCUUUGACGGGUAGCCGGCCUGAGAGGGUGACCGGCCACAUUGGGACUGAGAUACGGCCCAGACUCCUACGGGAGGCAGCAGUGGGGAAUAUUGCAAAAUGGGCGGAAGCCUGAUGCAGCAACGCCGCGUGCGGGAUGACGGCCUUCGGGUUGUAAACCGCUUUCGCCUGUGACGAAGCGUGAGUGACGGUAAUGGGUAAAGAAGCACCGGCUAACUACGUG
rnacentral:rRNA from 1 species